AGGUCUACGGCGUGCUGUUUUCCCGUUCACACCGGGGAGGUCGCUGGUUCGAUCCCAGCCGGGACCACCA
rnacentral:tRNA from 1 species